UACGUAGGUGGCAAGCGUUGUCCGGAAUUAUUGGGCGUAAGCGCGCGCAGGUGGUUUCUUAAGUCUGAUGUGAAAGCCCACGGCUCAACCGUGGAGGGUCAUUGGAAACUGGGGAACUUGAGUGCAGGAGAGAAGAGUGGAAUUCCACGUGUAGCGGUGAAAUGCGUAGAGAUGUGGAGGAACACCAGUGGCGAAGGCGACUCUUUGGCCUGUAACUGACACUGAGGUGCGAAAGCGUGGGAGCAAACAGG
rnacentral:rRNA from 1 species